UACAUUCAUGGCUUCUAUCAGAGCACAAUAACAUACAACAGCAGAACAAAUCAAUGACAAAAUUAGAUGGAGCCAAAUCAUCUCUAGCAGCCGCUUCUGCUCACUUGAAGACAAUCUUACACAAGUGCAGCCUGUUCCCUGCCUCUGUGUUUCCCAGGGACUCCUCAAACACACAUCAGGAAUCAGAUAUGGGCUAAACAGAACAAAAGACUGAUGGAACAAGAGAGCUUCAGGGGCAGGGGGCAGAUGACUUUGCUUCAUGGAGUGAAAUUAGACUGCCACUUAAGAUACAAACCAUUUCAGAUGCAGGACUCAGGUUCCUCCUGGAGCCUCCAUCAAUCCCAAUUCUAUGGGCAAUGGAACAGAUGUGGAAGUGGUCACGGAUUCCUUGCUGGAGUGCCAGUGCCAGACUGCCCCAGCACAAGCAGCAGGCUGCUACAAUUUGAAAGCAAUAGCAUUGUGAACAUGUAG
rnacentral:lncRNA from 1 species